AUUGAACGCUGGCGGCAGGCCUAACACAUGCAAGUCGAGCGGAUGAAGGGAGCUUGCUCCUGGAUUCAGCGGCGGACGGGUGAGUAAUGCCUAGGAAUCUGCCUGGUAGUGGGGGAUAACGUCCGGAAACGGGCGCUAAUACCGCAUACGUCCUGAGGGAGAAAGUGGGGGAUCUUCGGACCUCACGCUAUCAGAUGAGCCUAGGUCGGAUUAGCUAGUUGGUGGGGUAAAGGCCUACCAAGGCGACGAUCCGUAACUGGUCUGAGAGGAUGAUCAGUCACACGGGAAGUGAGACACGGUCCAGACGCCUACGAGAGGCAGCAGUGGGGAAUAUUGGACAAUGGGCGAAAGCCUGAUCCAGCCAUGCCGCGUGUGUGAAGAAGGUCUUCGGAUUGUAAAGCACUUUAAGUUGGGAGGAAGGGCAGUAAGUUAAUACCUUGCUGUUUUGACGUUACCAACAGAAUAAGCACCGGCUAACUUCGUG
rnacentral:rRNA from 1 species